CAAAAAAGACUAAACAUACAAUGUUGCCAAGAAACACCACAUACCUUAUGGACAUGAACUAAUAACUUCCGACAGCAGUAGCUAAUUCAUUAUAAGGUUUUAGACAACAUGACUGUCUGAAAUCUGGGAUGCUCAUGUAAUUUCAUGGAGGAAAAUAGAUAAUACUGCAUUCUGUUUUAGAAAUGCAAACUAGCAAGCACUGUGAACAGAGGUAAUCAACAUGUAUCAUUAAAUUAGUACUAGAAAAAACAAUUUACAAUUCAAAUGGUGUUCCUCUUCAACAAUCAUUUGACAUAGCAAAUAUUGGUAUGCAUCAGGAGAUGUUUCUUUAAUUUUGCUAUGAGUAUCAAUGGCAACAGAACGUGUACCACAGCUUGUACAACUUGAAAAUGAUAAUAUGUCUAAGUUUGAAAUGUCUACUUAUAAUGUAGUACACAGUAAACUGUUUUAGCAUUUGGGAGACAAAAUAUAGUCAAAGAGGAACUAAACUUUUCUUAAAAUACACACUGAUUUCAG